GGGGGGCUAACAUGCCAGUCGAACGGGUGUACAGAAGGGAAGAUUUCGGUCGGAAGAUCUGUGCAUGAGUGGCGGACCGUUGAGUAACGCGUGGGCAACCUGGCCUGUACAGGGGGAUCACACUUAGAAAUAGGUGCUAAUACCGCAUAACGGGAGAAGCCGCAUGGCUUUUUCCUGAAAACUCCGGUGGUACAGGAUGGGCCCGCGUCUGAUUAGCCAGUUGGCAGGGUAACGGCCUACCAAAGCGACGAUCAGUAGCCGGCCUGAGAGGGCGGACGGCCACACUGGGACUGAGACACGGCCCAGACUCCUACGGGAGGCAGCAGUGGGGGAUAUUGCACAAUGGGGGAAACCCUGAUGCAGCGACGCCGCGUGGGUGAAGAAGCGCCUCGGCGCGUAAAGCCCUGUCAGCAGGGAAGAAAAUGACGGUACCUGAAGAAGAAGCCACGGCUAACUACGUGCCAGCAGCCGCGGUAAUACGUAGGUGGCGAGCGUUAUCCGGAAUGAUUGGGCGUAAAGGGUGCGCAGGCGGUCCUGCAAGUCUGGAGUGAAACGCAUGAGCUCAACUCAUGCAUGGCUUUGGAAACUGGAGGACUGGAGAGCAGGAGAGGGCGGUGGAACUCCAUGUGUAGCGGUAAAAUGCGUAGAUAUAUGGAAGAACACCAGUGGCGAAGGCGGCCGCCUGCCCUGUUGCUGACGCUGAGGCACGAAAGCGUGGGGAGCAAAUACGAUUAAAUACCCUACCAGUCC
rnacentral:rRNA from 1 species